CCGGGGGAAGUGUGUUACCCGGACACUGGCCCGACUACUUUCGUUCCGUCCUCCAUCGUUUUCUCCCGUGCAAUGGCGUCCGGGCUGGUAAGACUGCUGCAGCAGGGGCCUCGCUGCCUCCUGGCUCCAGUCGCCCCCAAGCUGGUCCCUCCGGUUCGGGGAGUGAAGAAGGGAUUCCGCGCCGCCUUCCGCUUCCAGAAGGAGUUAGAGCGGCAGCGCCUUCUGCGGUGCCCGCCGCCGCCCGUGCGCCGUUCAGAGAAGCCGAACUGGGAUUACCAUGCAGAAAUACAAGCUUUUGGACAUCGGUUACAGGAAAACUUUUCCUUAGAUCUUCUCAAAACUGCAUUUGUUAAUAGCUGCUAUAUUAAAAGCGAGGAGGCCAAACGCCAACAACUUGGGAUAGAGAAAGAAGCUGUUCUUCUGAAUCUUAAAAGUAAUCAAGAACUAUCCGAACAAGGGACAUCUUUUUCACAGACUUGCCUCACACAAUUUCUGGAAGACGAGUACCCAGACCUGCCCACUGAAGGCAUCAAAAAUCUUGUUGAGUUUCUCACUGGUGAGGAUGUUGUGUGUCAUGUGGCUAGAAACUUGGCUGUGGAGCAGUUAACACUGAGUGAGGAAUUCCCAGUGCCCCCAACUGUAUUACAGCAGACUUUCUUUGCAGUUAUUGGAGCCCUGUUACAGAGCAGUGGACCCGAGAGGACUGCACUUUUCAUCAGGGACUUCUUAAUUACUCAAAUGACUGGAAAAGAACUCUUUGAGAUGUGGAAGAUAAUAAAUCCCAUGGGGCUAUUGGUAGAAGAACUGAAGAAAAGGAAUAUUUCAGCUCCUGAAUCAAGACUUACUAGGCAGUCUGGUGGCACCACAGCUUUGCCUUUGUAUUUUGUUGGCUUAUACUGUGAUAAAAAGUUGAUUGCAGAAGGACCUGGGGAAACAGUAUUGGUUGCAGAAGAAGAGGCUGCUCGAGUGGCCCUUAGAAAACUUUAUGGAUUCACAGAAAAUAGACGGCCUUGGAACUAUUCCAAGCCCAAAGAAACCUUGAGAGCAGAAAAGAGCAUCACUGCCAGCUAGCCAGCCGUGGAUGCAGCAGCCUGAAACUUGAGAGCGAAAAGUCUCGCUCUGUUGCCCAAGCUGGAGUGCAGUGGCGUGAUCUCAGCUCACUGCAACUUUCGCCUCCUGAGUUCAAGCGAUUCCCCUGCCUCAGCCUCCCAAGUAGCUGGGACUACAGAGUUAACUUCAACUCCUAGUAAUGGAACACAAGGAUAGAGGACCAAAACCAGUGGUAAAAUGCCAUUUAUGUGUGUUACAAGUAAACAUGAUUUGAUACGCAUCUCAUUGGCACUGUAGGAGAAAAGAGAUUAUACGACAAACUUUUCUGGAAAGCAAAAGACAUGUCUUCUAACCACUUAUCCAGCAUGUGUGAGAUGGCAGAAUCUAGCUGUGGUAUGAUUCUAAUUUUUUUUAAGGUAAACAUUAAGAAAGUCUAGGGAAUUCAUUUGCAAACCUAGUAAUCCUUUUCUUCCCCCCCUCCCCCACUAAAUAGUGCUGAUUGCGCAUUCCCAAAUUUCUCCUGCUCAGGGGAGUUUGCAGGACCUUACCCUACAAGCUUGGAGGGGAACUAUCCUUUUAGGUUUUCAAGCUUUUAAACCUUGAAUGCUUCCAAAUUUACAUGUGGGACAAGUCUAGCUCUAGUUCAUAAAACUACUUUGCGAGUAGAGAUCCAUAUGCCUUAUGUAGAAUGUAAUUUCAACAUAUUUCUAAAUAAAGCCUUCUUUGAACUUAAAUUGUACUUUUUAAAAGCACCCUCUAAAAUAGGGUAGAAAUGUAGAAAAUUUAGAAAAAUUGACAUACGUUUUCAAUUGCAUAUCAAAUAUAGCUUGAAAUUUGGAACCAGUCUCUGAGUAGCUAUUUGUCCUAUGAGCCUAACUGCAUAAGUAUGAUAUGUGGGUAGAAGGAACAUGUGGGUACAAGAAUGUCAUCAAAUGAUGCAUGUGACCGAGAGCAUUCAGUGACCAUGUGAAGGACUAGCUCUUUGACUAAUACCUCGUCCAUGUUGCGAAGACAGUCAUAAGACUGGAAGGAAGCACUGACAUUUGAAUUUAGGUUCACACCAGAGAAAGACAUUAGUCAUUUACUUUGAAAUUCUGACUUUUUCCACCUUUUCCCACUGUCCAGUUUCCUGUGCCCAAAGUAUAAUUGUACCAAAAAAAUCCUCUAGCCAAAAAUGUAACAUUAAUGUCUACAGACUUAAUUACAUAACCCCUAUUCUUUUAAAUUCAUACUCUUUAUUAUAUGCAUAUGUAUAAUGAGGAAUAUUUUUCUCAAAAUGUUGUAUGUGGUCACAAGAAAGUAAACUAGAAACUAACACUAAACUCCAAGUUAAGAAUGGAACAAAUUGGAGCUUUUUGUGUUCAGAGCUGUACUGAUUUUGGCCACAAGAUGGUGCUGUAAUCCUAUUGCACAAUUUAGUAUGUGCAUUGGCCAUUAUGGGGAACCUAUUUUCUACCGAUACAGGAAAGAUGAUGUCUAUAUGGCACAGGAUUACCAUGAAAUAUGACUUUCCAAGGCCCCUUUCGGCUCUAAUAUUCCAUGAAUACUUCUUCAGGAGCCAGCUCACCUUGUUCUUCCCUUGCCUUUGGAUGUUGUAAGAAUUUGAUGUAUGAACAAUUCACCUGUGAUGUGAAGGUAUGGAUUUUUGAGCUCUUUUCUAUUCACCGGAAAGAAGGAAGAGUGCAGGGCUGCCAUAGAUAAAACUUUUAGAAGACCUUUUUGCAGGCCUCAUCUUGGUGUUUCUUUCUUCCUACUUCCUUUUGUUGAUAGGAGAAGAUGCACUGCGGAGGCAAGGGAAUCCUGUGUUCAUCGGGACAGUUCCUGAAGCCAGACGUAGACAUCAGGGUGGCCAGCUCAUAGCAUCCCUCAGCAGAGGGUUAUGCACUGAGGAUGCUCAGCUGCCGGCAUGCUGCCCAAGUUCUCCAUCCUAAGCCGACUUUGUUUUUCUUCCCCUCAGUUCAUCCCUGUUCCAUUUUCCCCAGCCUUAGUUUGCAAAGUCCCUCAACUAUUGUCCUCUGGGACCUAGAGUCUCUUAACUUUGGUUGGGUAUCAGAGCACUUACUUGAAAGCCAUGGUUCUCUCUGUAUAAUACCAAGAAUGAUUGCUAGAUCUAAUCCCAUCAUGCAAACUAAUAACAAUUUUUCCUGGAACUUAUGCAAUCAAAAAUCACAAUCACACAUGCUCCUGAAAAAAGAAAGCUGUUUUGCCAUUGGUGGUCUUUGUGCUUUCCAUGACUACUUAUUUGUUGUUCAUUUAUCUGCCUGCCUAUUAGUGUUUACUAACUACAGAAGACUAAUGGUUUAAGAAAACUUUCUGGGAGAAAAACAAUUAGGAAAAUUAAAAACAUUAACUUAUUCCUUCUUCGGUUGAGGAAGAACUACAUUAUUUGAUUAUUCAGAGGAGUUCAAGGAGUAUCUUUUCACCUGAGCUGUCCUGUAUUAAAAUUGCAAAUGAAGGCCUGGCACGGAGACUUAUGCUUGUAAUCUCAGCACUUGGGGAGGCCAAGGUAAGAGGAUUGCUUGAGCUCAGGAGUGAGACUAGCUGUGAAGCGUAGCAAGACCCUGUCCCUAUUUCAUUUUUCAAAUUUCAAAUGAACUCAGUUUGUUCUAUUCUGAUCCUCUUUUUUGCAGAAGACAUGAGUAAAGAGGUCAUUGACAGAGAAGGAUAUUUCCGAGAGGGGAAGAGUUUGACUUUCUGAUGAUGCUUCCUGUACAUAAACUAUUGAUGUCAGCAUCUUCACAUGAAGACAUAUCAGGAAACGAGUUUCCAUAAAUUUGAUCAUUUUGAAGUAAGACAAGGCCUACAGACCAUUGACUUAAAGAUAUCAAAAUGUAGUCCGGGCACGGUAGCUCACACCUGUUAUCCCAGCACUUUGGAAGGCCGAGGCAGGCAGAUCAUCUGAGGUCAGGAGUUCGAGACCAAUCUGGCCAACAUGGUGAAACCCCCGUCUCUACUAAAAAUACAAAAAUUAGCCAGGCACAGUGAUGUGUGCCUGUACUCCCAGCUACUGGGGAGGCUGAGGCACGAGAACUGCUUGAACCCGGGAAGCGGAGGUUGCAGUGAGUCGAUAUCAUGCCACUGCACGCCAGCCUGGGUGACAGAGCAAGACUCUGUCUCAAAAAAGAAAAAAAAAAGGAAAAAAGAAAAAAACAAAGUACACAUACAUAGUUGUGAACAGCAAAGCUCAGCCCACUUGACAAAUAAUAAUUCCAAAUGGCAAACUGAUGGAGUGCCAAAUGUCAGGUUUUAAUGUAAAGUUAAAGGCAAGUAGAACUCAAGGGCUAAAAAGAAAAAAAUGUUUUUAAGUUUUGAUAAAUGUUUUAAAGUUAAAUUCUGAUUUAGGUUAGACUGCAUAAAUCUUUAAGAAAUUAGUUUUUUAACAAGCAGGCAAAUGGUAACCUUAGAAUUAUGAUAUUUGUAGGCUGAAUGCCAGUGGCUCAUGCCUGUAAUCCCAACACUUUGUGGGGCUGAGGCAGGAGGAUCACUUGAGGUCAGGAGUUCAAGACCAGCCUGGGCAAGAUGGCGAGGCAUGUCUCUGUAAAAAGAAAAAGGAAAAAAAAGAAUUAUGACGUUUGAGUUCAACUUGGAAAGUUAGCUCGAAAAAAACAAAACAAAACAAAAAACCCUGUCAUUUCAAAAACACUCCUGCCUAUCACCAAAAACGAAACACUUCCUGUUCCCCCAGGAUUUCCAAAAUACAUGGUACCCAGCAACUUCAUUCUGCACUUGCUACAAAAUCCGUUUCUUUGCUGAGAAUUCUUAGCCAUUGCUGCAGUGAAUGUAGCUAAGAGUAGAACUAGGAUUACUAUAAUAGUUACUCUGUUGAAGUGAUCUAUAAAAUGAGACGUGUUGAAGCGGGGAAGCGUUUGAGUGUCAGGUCUAGAGGAAAAGGAUAGGAAAAGUCUCUGAGCUUUGAAUUUCCUGAUGUUUACAUAGUACAAAGUUUAUUAGAAGAGGCUGACGAAUGUUUAAAAGGCUCAGUUUCUUCUACUGUAUUUUCAAACAGCAGAGAAAUAGCUUUAUUUUUACUACUCAUAACAGUUUAUUUUUACUUUGUACAAAAUACAAAAAUGCAAAUCCAAGGAGUACAGACCAGUAGUGACAGGCACACUGCACAACAGCAACCUUGUCUAGCAAGACAGGAGUUUUUUAAAUUUUAUUUUAGUGAAUACAUGCAUUAUAUAAAACAACAACAACAACAACAAAAACACGAAGAGGCUAGAGAUUUCACCGUUUCUACCCCCAAGAUAACACUUGCUAUCAAGACUUUGGAGGGGGAUGGGGGAAAAGAAUUUAAAAGGCAAAUAAUUUUUUUUUCAUAAAAAGUAAAAGCUACCAUAAAACAUUUUUUUUCUGUCACACUGAUUAAAUUUCUUCUGAAAAGCCGCACAUAUAGACAAAACAAAACAAAAAUUCCUGAACUGGACAAACAGCAAAUACUCAAGAGGGUUGUUAACCUAGGUAAUAGUUCAGUAGUUUAAAGAAUCUU